GAUUCUGUGGCGAAAUCGGUAGACGCAUAGAACUUAAGAUUCUACGCCGGAAGGCGUGCGGGUUCGAGUCCCGCCAGAAUCA